UUUAUGCGUAAACUGACGAUAUACGUUUUAUCUCCACCUAUUAAAUUUCCAAAAUGUUCUCUUUCUUCGCCGGUUUAUACUUUUAGAGUGUAGCAUAUAUUGCUCGCAUCCAGAUUUGGAAACUCGAAAUAGAAUUAAUGGACUAGCGGUAGUGUCGUACCGUAAGUCAAUAAAAAUAAAGUCUCUAAUACUACUUUGCUUUUCGUCUCGUGGAGUAUUGAAAGGACCAUGAUUAACGAUAAGUGUCUUCAUUAGUUCCGGGCAAUAAUAUACUAUACGGAGUGUUCUGAAAAUAAGAAGCAAUGGCGAUGUAUUGUUAGGGUAAAUGUAAUUGACAAACAUUGCACACGUUUUUUGAAUGGCGAACCCUAGUGAAGUUAUUUUUUAGCCGAAGGUCGAGGACCAAAAUUAAGAUGCGAAAUUAAUAAGAGAGUUUUCUACUGUUUAUGUACUAUUUGUUCACUACUACAUAUUUUUUUAGGAGGACCGAGCUAGACAUCUUAAACCUACUUGCACGAUACUAUUGUAGAUAACUAGGCAAGCACGAAAAUAUUAAAACCAGCGAAAAAGUGAUCCGCUCGAUUAGCCGUAUUGGAAUGAAAUAAUCUCAUGGGCAUAAAAAAAGGAAAUUAUGACAAACAAACGCAACAAAUUGAGUGGGUUUCAAAGGGUCAGUUUGGCAACCCUACCUUUGAAAAUGAGAGAGCGCACAUGUUAACAGCUUCUCUAUAUGGAGCAAUAAUGAAUCGGUUACCACAUACACCCUGUCACAACAUGGUAGGUCGAUGCCUGAAUAACAAACAACUUUACGGAUGCCACCGAAUAUGGGAUGGCAAAAGAAAGAGUGGCAAUAAAUUUAUUUGAAAAGAAAACUGGCUUAACCGUACAGUCUUCCGGUUUAUGGAUUGAUGAGGAAACAGAAUUUUUAGGGGCCUCUCCUGAUGGGUUAAUUAAUGAAGAAAAUGCAUUAAUUGAAGUCAAAUCCUUGUUUUCUGCAUCAAAGCUGAACGUCGCACCUAUGGUGGAGGUAGUAGACGAAAUGAAAAAUAAAAAAAAGUACACUUGCUUAAAAAAAGAUAACAAUGGCGCCCUAGUUUUAAGAAAUCACAUCCAUAUUACUACCAGAUCCAAGGACAGUUACACAUUUGCAAAAGAUCUGUCUGUUACUUUAUAAUAUAUGUUAGCGACAAUGUUAAAAAAUUAAAAGAAUCAGUAGGGAUGAAAAACUGUGGCAGGAGAAGUUACGCCAGUUUUAUAAGGAAUGUGUGGCUCCUGAAAUUAUUACAAAUAAUAUCGGAAAUGGAAGAAAAUGCCGAGUUCCUCCAUUUAUUUUAGAUGCUACAAUGGCCCAUGAAGAGAAAAAAUCCCAAUUCCUAAAUUGGAUAGGGCUUAGCUAAAUUUAUAUAAUAAAUGACUAUACGGGGGUUUUGCUUAGCAGGGCAGUAUU